rnacentral:tRNA from 1 species
GGGAGUGUAGCUCUGUUGGGAGAGUGCUUGCCUAGCAUGCAGAGGGUCUGGGUUUGAUUCACAGCACUUCAU